rnacentral:lncRNA from 1 species
CCCCAUUAGGGAGGGGCAGAGGGGAGCAGCCAGCAGUCUUAUGCUACCACUGUGGCUCAUCCUGCGACCUGAGAGAAACCUGGGCAACUGUGAGCACCAGAGGCCAAGUCCUGGACAGUCUUUAGGCCAUGUUGGAACUACAUUUGGAAAGGUGGUUGUUAAACAUUUCCCAGCACACACCUGGAUCUGCAUCUGCUGUGUCAAUUGAACCACUCACUGGUUCUGUGACCUCAGUUCUUCGUAGACUCUGGAAUGGAGCUGGAAGCUGUCAUCC